rnacentral:rRNA from 1 species
UUUAAAUUUAGAGUUUGAUCCUGGCUCAGGACGAACGCUGGCGGCGUGCUUAACACAUGCAAGUCGAGCGAUGAAGCUUCCUUCGGGAAGUGGAUUAGCGGCGGACGGGUGAGUAACACGUGGGUAACCUGCCUCAAAGUGGGGGAUAGCCUUCCGAAAGGAAGAUUAAUACCGCAUAAUAUAAGAGAAUCGCAUGAUUUUUUUAUCAAAGAUUUAUUGCUUUGAGAUGGACCCGCGGCGCAUUAGCUAGUUGGUAAGGUAACGGCUUACCAAGGCAACGAUGCGUAGCCGACCUGAGAGGGUGAUCGGCCACAUUGGAACUGAGACACGGUCCAGACUCCUACGGGAGGCAGCAGUGGGGAAUAUUGCGCAAUGGGGGAAACCCUGACGCAGCAACGCCGCGUGGGUGAUGAAGGUCUUCGGAUUGUAAAGCCCUGUUUUCUAGGACGAUAAUGACGGUACUAGAGGAGGAAGCCACGGCUAACUACGUGCCAGCAGCCGCGGUAAUACGUAGGUGGCGAGCGUUGUCCGGAUUUACUGGGCGUAAAGGGUGCGUAGGCGGAUGUUUAAGUGGGAUGUGAAAUCCCCGGGCUUAACCUGGGGGCUGCAUUCCAAACUGGAUAUCUAGAGUGCAGGAGAGGAAAGCGGAAUUCCUAGUGUAGCGGUGAAAUGCGUAGAGAUUAGGAAGAACACCAGUGGCGAAGGCGGCUUUCUGGACUGUAACUGACGCUGAGGCACGAAAGCGUGGGUAGCAAACAGGAUUAGAUACCCUGGUAGUCCACGCCGUAAACGAUGGAUACUAGGUGUAGGGGGUAUCAACUCCCCCUGUGCCG